AGAGUUUGAUCAUGGCUCAGGAUGAACGCUAGCGGCAGGCCUAACACAUGCAAGUCGAGGGGUAUAGGGAGCUUGCUUCCUAGAGACCGGCGCACGGGUGAGUAACGCGUAUGCAACCUACCUUUCACAGGGGAAUAGCCCGGAGAAAUUCGGAUUAAUGCCCCAUGGUUUAAUUGAUUGGCAUCAAUUGAUUAGUAAAGAUUUAUCGGUGAAAGAUGGGCAUGCGUAUCAUUAGCUAGUUGGUGUGGUAACGGCACACCAAGGCGACGAUGAUUAGGGGUCCUGAGAGGGAGAUCCCCCACACUGGUACUGAGACACGGACCAGACUCCUACGGGAGGCAGCA
rnacentral:rRNA from 1 species